AUGUAGGGCUCGAUUCCAGGAACUGUGAGAUUAUGACCCAAACUAAAAUCAAGAGUUGGACGCUUAACCAACUGAACCACCCAGGUGCCCCACCUGUUUGUUAUUUCUGACAAGCUGCCACUCUGUGGGCACAUCAACACUUAAUUGUUCCUCGGUUGAACUUUUAAUUUUUUCUCUUUUGUCCUGAUAACUGUACCUGUGCCUUUUUUAAAAUAUUUAAGAUUAUUUCCUUAUAGUAGAUGCCCAGAAGUGGAAUUAGUGGAUGAAAGGCCAAAAACAUUUUUAUGGGUCUUGAUAAAUAUUGCCAAAUUGCUUUUUCAAAUAGUGACCCCUAUGAGAAGUGUCAGUUUUACUAAAUUUCUCCCAGGGUUAUCAGAAAAAGAAGUUUUUUUUUUUU